rnacentral:rRNA from 1 species
GACGUAGGUGGCGAACGUUAUCCGGAAUUAUUGGGCGUAAAGGAUGCGUAGAUGGUGUAGUAAGUUAUCGGUGGCAAAUCGAGGCUCAACCUCGUGGAAGUGGGUAAUACUGCUAUGCUAGAGGAUAGGAGAGGUUAACGGAACUCCCUGUGGAGCGGUGAAAUGCGUAGAUAUAGGGAAGAACACCAAUCAGGCGAAGGCAGUUAACUAUUCUAUUCCUGACAUUGAGGCAUGAAAGCGUGGGGAGCAAAACGG